rnacentral:sRNA from 1 species
AAUAGAGGGCUUGGGUCCGGAAGUGAUGGACUGGAGGCUUGACUAAUGUGAAAGGGGCGUCUGAAAGAGAAGCCAGCUGCCAUGCCAUGAACUGCAAUGUGAAAAGGCCAGUGUAGCAAGGAUGUGUCCAGCCAACAGCCAGUGAGGAUCUGAGGCCCUCAGACCAACAGCCCAUGAGCAACUGAAUUUUGCUAAUAACCAUGUAAGUGAACACAGAAGUGGACACUCAGGGUCCUCCAGCUAGAUUACGUGGAUCUUUACAUCAUUGAAGUACCCAUGGCCUUUAAGCCAGGAGAUGAAAUAUACCCUAGAGAUGAGAAUGGCAAAUGGUUAUAUCACAAGUCAAAUCUGUGUGCCACUUGGGAGGCGAUGGAAGCUUGCAAAGAUGCUGGCUUGGUGAAAUCCCUGGGAGUGUCCAAUUUUAACCGCAGGCAGCUGGAACUCAUCCUGAACAAGCCAGGACUCAAACACAAGCCAGUCAGCAACCAGGUUGAGUGCCAUCCGUAUUUCACCCAGCCAAAACUCUUGAAAUUUUGUCAACAACAUGACAUUGUCAUUACUGCAUAUAGCCCUUUGGGGACCAGUAGGAAUCCAGUCUGGAGGCAGCUCCAUAAACUUGCCUUGCUUGAUCUUCCCAUACUAAGAGUAACUCUCCAUUCAGUGCAUACUCUGCACUCAGAGAAACUGGUUACAGGUGACCUGCAGUGUCCUGGGUGAAUGUUUCUUCUCCACCUUUGUUAAAGGAUGCACUUCUAAACUCAUUGGGGAAAAGGUACAAUAAGACAGCAGCUCAAAUUGUUUUGCGUUUCAACAUCCAGCGAGGGGUGGUUGUCAUUCCUAAAAGCUUUAAUCUUGAAAGGAUCAAAGAAAAUUUUCAGAUCUUUGACUUUUCUCUCACUGAAGAAGAAAUGAAGGACAUUGAAGCCUUGAAUAAAAAUAUCCGCUUUGUGCAAUUGCUCAUGUGGCGCGAUCAUCCUGAAUACCCAUUUCACGAUGAAUACUGACUGCAGGGAGUUCCUGAACAGAUUUUUCACUCCCAUGAGUGCCAAGACGGUGCGAUGGGUAGUCCCCUGCAUGUGAAAGUGAAGAGGGUUUUACCGUCCUGAGAAGAAAUAAUGAUGGAAACGUGUUUAAUGUUUGUGUAGUGUAAGUGACUUUGACUCAGUCACACUGAAGUAAAAAUAUUAAAAUCUGUUGAAAUAAC